CCUACGGGUGGCAGCAGUGGGGAAUAGUGCACAAUGGGGGAAACCCUGAUGCAGCGACGCCGCGUGAGUGAAGAAGUAUUUCGGUAUGUAAAGCUCUAUCAGCAGGGAAGAAGAAAGACGGGACCUGACGAAGAAGCCCCGGCUAACUACGUGCCAGCAGCCGCGGUAAUACGUAGGGGGCAAGCGUUAUCCGGAUUGACUGGGGGUAAAGGGAGCGUAGAAGGCUGUGCAAGUCUGAAGGGAAAGCCCAGGGCUCAACCCGGGGACUGCUUUGGAAACUGUGGAGCUCGCGUGCUGGAGAGGUAAGUGGCAUUCCUCGUGUAGCGGUGCACUGCGUCGAUAUUAG
rnacentral:rRNA from 1 species